AACGAACGCUGGCGGCAUGCCUAACACAUGCAAGUCGAACGAGACCUUCGGGCCUAGUGGCGCACGGGUGCGUAACGCGGGGGAACCUGCCCUUAGGUUCGGAAUAACUCCCCGAAAGGUGUGCUAAUACCGGUUAAUGUCUUCGGACCAAAGAUUUAUCGCCAUUGGAUGGGCGCGCGUUGGAUUAGCUGGUUGGUAGGGUAAAAGCCUGCCAAGGCGACGAUGCAUAGCUGGUCGGUUAGGAUGACCAGCCACACUGGGACUGAGACACGGCCCAGACUCGUACGGGAGGCAGCAGUAGGGAAUAUUAGACGCUGGGCGAAAGCCUGAUCAAGCCAUGCCGCGUGAGUGAUGAAGGCCUUAGGGUUGUAAAGCUCUUUUACCCGGGAUGAUAAUGACAGUACCGGGAGAAUAAGCACCGGCUAACUACGUG
rnacentral:rRNA from 1 species